UCUGGCAUCGAUGAAGAACGCAGCGAAAUGCGAUAAGUAAUGUGAAUUGCAGAAUUCAGUGAAUCAUCGAAUCUUUGAACGCACAUUGCGCCCGCCAGUAUUCUGGCGGGCAUGCCUGUUCGAGCGUCAUUACAACCCUCAGGCCCCCGGGUCUGGCGUUGGGGAUCGGCGGAAGCCCCCUGUGGGCACAACGCCGUCCCCCAAAUACAGUGGCGGUCCCGCCGCAGCUUCCAUUGCGUAGUAGCUAACACCUCGCAACUGGAGAGCGGCGCGGCCACGCCGUAAAACACCCAACUUCUGAAUGUUGACCUCGAAUCAGGUAGGAAUACCCGCUGAACUUAAGCAUAUCAAUAAGCGGAGGA
rnacentral:rRNA from 1 species